rnacentral:rRNA from 1 species
GAUGAACGCUGGCGGCGUGCCUAACACAUGCAAGUCGAACGAUGAAACCGCCCUCGGGCGGACAUGAAGUGGCGAACGGGUGAGUAACACGUGACCAACCUGCCCCUUGCUCCGGGACAACCUUGGGAAACCGAGGCUAAUACCGGAUACUCCUCGCCCCCCUCCUGGGGGGCCCGGGAAAGCCCAGACGGCAAGGGAUGGGGUCGCGGCCCAUUAGGUAGUAGGCGGGGUAACGGCCCACCUAGCCCGCGAUGGGUAGCCGGGUUGAGAGACCGACCGGCCACAUUGGGACUGAGAUACGGCCCAGACUCCUACGGGAGGCAGCAGUGGGGAAUUUUGCGCAAUGGGGGCAACCCUGACGCAGCAACGCCGCGUGCGGGACGACGGCCUUCGGGUUGUAAACCGCUUUCAGCAGGGAAGAAAUUCGACGGU